GCGGUGAGUUGAGCAAGGGCUCGGCGAGCCUGAAUCCGAGAGGGAGACGGAGGCGGUGAGAGAUGAGGGAGUCUAGGAACAGAGGCGGCGAGGAGCCGUUGUUGGUGCCGGAGGUGGAGAGAGAGGUAGAUCGAGAGAGAUGGGAAAGGAGACGGCGAUGGUUUCACUGAAAUUUUUUAGAGAGAGGCGGAGCAAGAUGGUUGACUGGUGGCGGCGGUCGCCAUCGCUGUCGGAGAGAGAGAAGGGAGAACGGAGAUCAGAAGGAGCUGGUGGUGGCGGCUUAUCGCCGCUGCUCCUCCGGCGAGCUUCCGCGGCGGCGGAACUUCUGGGAAGAGAGCCGAGAGAGAUUGGAGAAGAAAGAGGCGCAGCUAUGACUCUGUGAAGGAGAAGUGGGGAAGGGUUUUGUGUUAGAAUAGGUUUGGGCUAAAGUCUUGGGCUGAAUCUUUAGAAGUGGGGCUAUUAAGGAGUUGGGCCAUUUUUAUUUAAGUUGUUGGGCUGAGUUUAUUUAAAGUAUUUGGGCCUUUGUUUUUUUAUUUAUGUGGGCUACGAAUUUUUAAGUAUUUGGCCCUUACAUUUAAUUAUUUUGGGCAGUCCACAUUUUAAUUAAUUUGACUAAUCACUAGUUGAUUAAUUAUUUUAAAG
rnacentral:lncRNA from 1 species